UUUGUAUUUUUAUGUCCCAAUAAAAUUACCAUUUCAUGUUCAAGUUAAACACAUUAAUGUUACAACAUUUUGGUAUCGAAAGAAAACCACUAUAAGUGGAAGAAGGGGCCAAGCAAAAUGGCAAUCAAAUCUUAUAUAGAAAAAAUAAAAAUUUCAUCAAGUUUUGGCAAGCAACUAAGAAAUUGAAUUACAAACAAAGUUUACCUGUAUCCGUGGAGGGUUGCCAGGAGCCGUCCAGUAUCGCCGAGCUGUUCGCGCGGAGAUUCAAGACUUGGUGCUAUUUUUCAUUGGGAUAUUUUUUCGAGAAGCAUUAUUCCAGCAAGUAACGCUUCCCUCUAGAAGACGGGGUAUCGAUUUGUCACUUCAAGACUAUUAUUAUGACAAAUACAUUAACGCUACUGUUAUAAAGAAUAAGAACAUAGAGAGAUUGAAGAAGGCUACUACAUUAAAAUACUUGCAAGCUACUUUGCGUAAUAUGAAUUUAACGAUGCCGUGUGAGGAUUGUCCGGAUGUGUACCUUCCAGUCUGUACGGAAUUAAAUGGAACCUAUACUACAUAUAAAAAUAGGUGCCUGUUUAGAUGCCGAAACGAGACGGAUGCAGUAGAAGUGAGAAGGGGAAUCUGCAUUUACUGGUAGAUUAAAAGAAUGAAUACACGAUAAAAACAAUUUUAUUGAGAACAGGGGCUGCAGAAUUGAAAAGAAUUAAUACACGAUAAAAUCUGCUUCAAUAUUUUUAUUUCAGAAGUAAAGUAAUUGAAAGAAAAAGAGUAAGGUAAGUAAUUGAAAGAAUUAUAUGGCACACCCGCUCUUUUUCUUGUCAAUAUUUCUCAUUUAUAAUUAUUUCAAUUACUUACUUUACUCUUUUUCUUUCAAUUACUUUACUUCUGAAAUAAAAAUAUUCAAGCAGAUUUUAUCGUGUAUUAAUUCUUUUAAUUCUACAGCCCCUGUUCUCAAUAAAAUUGUAAAAAAACGUGACAAAAUAUUUAUGAACCAGUAAAUAGACAUUUAUUUUGUUGCCAUGUUUAUAUUUUCAUUCGAUGAAACUAAGCUCAUUAGGUGUUUCAAAGAGCUUUUAAGCCAUUUGUUACCUUAUCAAACAUUGAUUUGAAAAAACCAAUAUAUUUCAUACAAUCAUCAUACAAUACCAAAGUUAUUAUCACAUAUUUAAUUACACAAACGGGUCUACCCGUAGACCUGUUUGUGUAUUUAAAUAUGUGUACCUACGAAACGCGAGAGUUUAAAGUGUUAUAAAAAUAUUAUCAUUGUCAAAAUACUUUUGGUCGCUACUGUACAAUAAUUUAUGUACAUACUACAUGCAUACAAAACCUAGUAAGGAUGUGAGACAUACAAGUUAAGUUUUGGCGAUGUCACUUUAUUUCUUGGAGCCUUACUAGCUUUUUUAACAGGGAAUUUGGUGGUAAAUAGUGUUUUUUUUUUCAUUUGUUACCAUACCAGUGGUAAAAUGAUGAGUGAUAUGCCAGUACAAGAGCACUUACUAAGUACCAGAACCAGGUCCAUACCGGAAGGCAUGAGACUUACAAAGGCACUAGCUGCAACGAAGUCAGUUCCACUCACUUCCAUUAGAAGAAGUGACGGAAGAAUGACUGAAACGGGGCUAGAAACCCUCAAAGUUAUGUGUGACACACACUUCCCAGGCUCGAUAAUACAUCAGAGCGUAACGGACGAUGUAGCAACCGGUGCAAUGGAACAAUCCAUCAGCACGACCAGGUACAACUGGGACACGUCUAAAAAGGUAGUAGAUCACGAUAAGAUACAAUGGGCACUAUCCACAUUUCAACCAUACAAAGCCCCGGGGCCAGAUGGAAUCUACCCCAUACUACUACAAGAGGGCGCCAAUGUACUAAUACCGCACUUAGGUAGACUGUACAGAGCGUGCAUAGCCUUCGGACACGUACCGCGUGUGUGGAGGAUGGUAAAGGUAACGUAGUACUUGCCUAAACCAGGCAAAGCAGAUUACACAGAAGCCAAAUCAUACAGGCCGAUAAGUCUGUCAUCGUUUUUCCUCAAAACACUGGAGAAACUGGUAGACAGACACAUAAGGGAUGGUCCUCUUAAGAGGCAUCCGCUGCACCAAUUGCAGUGUGCGUAUCAGCCGGGUAAAUCGACUGAAACGGCACUACACCUGGUGACAACCAGAGCGGAACAGGCGAUAGAGAACAAAGAACUAUGUCUGGCCACUUUUAUAGACGUGGAGGGGGCAUUUGACCGCACCACGUAUCAGGCAAUCAAUAUUGCAGCAUCUAAACAUGGCAUAGAACCAACAAUCUGUAGAUGGAUUGGUACUAUGCUAAAUAGCCGACUAAUAAAAUCCUCCCUUAUGGGAGAUGAAAUAUUAGCUACGGCUACGAAGGGUUGUCCACAGGGUGGGGUUCUCUCACCAACUCUCUGGAGUCUGGUAGUUAACUCACUGUUGGAAGAACUAAACAAAGGCCCAAUACAUACGGUAGGGUACGCACAUGAUUUAGUGAUUCUUGUAAACGGGAAAUUCCCGGGAACAGUAUCGGAAAUCAUGAAUAAAGCACUGAAGCAAGUGGAAAGAUGGUGCAACUGUCAUCAACUCUCCAUAAACCCAGGCAAAACAGUAGUAAUACCGUUUACCAGGAAAAAGACCCUUAAUGGCAUGAAGCAGCUGAAGCUUUAUGGAAGGGUACUGGAAAUGUCCAAUGAAGUGAAAUAUCUAGGCGUUACACUAGAUAAAGAGCUGAACUGGAGAAAGCAUGUCGAACUAACAACCACCAAGGCACUUAGAGUGUUUGGAAUGUGUAGAUCGGCUUAUGGCAAAACGCGGGGUCUAAACCCAAAGGUACUAAGAUGGAUCUAUACCAUGAUGGUAAGACCUAUCAUCUUGUACGGAUGCCUGGCAUGGUGGCCAAGGACACUAAAGAGCACAUGCAGGGAUGCCCUUAUGAAAAUACAAAGAACGGCAUGCAUGGCUAUUACUGGCGCGUUUAGAACGACGCCAACAGCGGCGAUGGAGGUACUGCUAAACCUCUCGCCGCUACACCUAGUGAUACAAUCUGAGGCGCGGAAAUCGCUACACAGGUUGACCCUAACAGGCCUCUGGAGCGAUAGCAAGCCAAAGACCAAACACACAAACAUGGAAU